UGAUUCUGCUGGUGGUUUCAUUGCAGGAUCAAGUGAAUUGAGUAGAUCUCCAGGGCUUACUUGUGAAAAUACAAAUCCUCCCGGUGAAGAUGGGUUAGAAUCGCUACAUGCGCUCCCUGUAUUGCAUUUAUUGCACGAAGGGAGUGAGACUUACACAAGAAUCGACUAGCAGUGCCUGGAAACUCAGUUACGACCCCAUCAACUUUAAUAACUUGGAAGAAAGUGCCAAUUUCCAUAAGAGGAUCUGCUACAUAGUCAAAUGGCAGGGUGGAGUACUCAUUUUUCAUGAGAUGGACGAACACUGUGAGUGUCAACAGAUUGGAUCAGAACUUGUUUUGUGGAAUUCUUGUCCAAGGUUGCAUUGCUCAGGGCUGCACUCACAGAACCUACUAUGUCAAGACCCUUCUUUGAUGCAAGGUAGGCAGCAUUCUGUUAACAAUGGGUUAACAUAAAUUUGGAUUAGGAAGGAUGGGAAGGAGGGAUGUACAUAUUUAAUUUGGAAUAAGUUCAAUGAAAAGAUCUUGGUUAAAUCUUCCCUUCGCUUAUUUUCAACCCAAACACAACUUCAAGGAGAAACGCUUCAGGGAGUUGAAAAGUUUCUCACCUGUAUGUCGAUUAAAAUGCCAGUGGGUGCCUUUGCCUUGGCAAACUCCAGAAAUUCAGCUAGGGUAACAAAAUUACCACUAUUCUUGUACCCUGGGUUCCUCAAAAAGUUACCAUUAUUAUCAGCGAAAGGGCUAACCAUUUGAGCUGAAACAAGAAAUUUACAAAGUAAGUUCAAUGUUCAAAUAUAGUAGAGGGUAGCAUGUAUUUAUGUGAAUUGAGUUUCUUCUAGUUCUAUAGAAGCGUAUUACGUCUCAA